rnacentral:rRNA from 1 species
GACGAACGCUGGCGGCGUGCUUAACACAUGCAAGUCGAACGGAAAGGCCCUGCUUGCAGGGUACUCGAGUGGCGAACGGGUGAGUAACACGUGGGUGAUCUGCCCUGCACUUCGGGAUAAGCCUGGUAAACUGGGUCUAAUACCUGAUAGGAGCCAUUUUUAGUGUGAUGGUUGGAAAGUUUUUUCGGUGUAGGAUGAGCUCGCGGCCUAUCAGCUUGUUGGUGGGGUAAUGGCCUACCAAGGCGGCUACGGGUAGCCGGACUGUGAGGGUGGACGGCCACACUGGGACUGAGAUACGGCCCAGACUCCUACGGGAGGCAGAAGGGGGGAAUAUUGAACAAUGGGCGCAAGCCUGAUGCAGAGACGCCGCGUGGGGGAUGACGGUCUUAGGGUUGUAAACUAAUUUCGCUAGGGACGAAGCUUUUUGUGACGGUACCUAGAUAAGAAGCACCGGCUAACUACGUG